rnacentral:snRNA from 1 species
GCGCUCACUUUGGCAGCACAUAUACUAAAAUUGGAAGGACAGAGAAGAUUAGCAUAGCCACUGCGCAAGGAUGACAUGCU